rnacentral:lncRNA from 1 species
CAAGUAGGAUUUAUAGGCGCACGAACAGGGUGUCCGUGCACUCUUGACUUGCACGCAUGCGGCUAGCAUGCGUGGAGUGUGUGUGCAAUACAGGUGUGUAUGCAGCAGGAGUCUCCCUCACAUGUGUGGCCCAACAUGGGGCUUACUAGGCAUGUGUGCGCUUGGGGCGAGUGACUGCCCACCCUACACAUGGACACUCU